UAAUGGGUUUUGGUUACCGGUUAAACAGGUUUUAUAUAUAAACCAAAAAUUAUAACAUUCAUCAAACUUUUCUCUCUCACGUUUGCUUCUCUUUCGUCUGCUUGCUCUGUCUCAGUUUGCCUCUCUAAACAAAACCCUCAAAUCACAGCUAAAACCAUACAGGAACCAGACAGCCGUAGCCGCACACCCACAACCUCAAAUUGGCGGUGCUUCUUCUCAUCCAAUCCAACUCGUCAGCGCCGCUCUCUAGUUUCUCUCGCGUUCUUUGCAUCUUUGUUUCUCUCUCAUGUUCUCCAUUCCUCUCAGAUUGUUUCUUCUUGCAUUCUCAGGUACCCUAAAAAAUGUUUAGGGAUGCACACGGGCAGCCUACUUGUUUAUUUGACUAGCUUGUAUGGAACUUGUGUGUCAACUGGGGUUAUGAAUUUGAAGUCUAUUUGCAAGUUCUUGGCAUGCUCCUAAAUGUUUAAUAGCAUUUGGAGAGGAUUAGUUGCUACCAUUGAUUCAAGAUUUAAGGGUGAGCAUAUGCUGUAUGAGGAUCAUGGUGACAAAGUUAUUAUUUUUGCAAAGCCUUUCUCAGAUGAACUAUUCUGGAUGAAAUCAUUUUCAAGGUUUUAAAGCUAGGUGCUCUUUGAAUAAUUGUCAAUUAGUAGGUAAUUUGCAAUACUAUGUUGGCUUGGCAGUCAUUGUCAUCAGAGUGGGUUCUAUGCUUCAAACUGUACCAUCCAAACUGAGAAAGCUAUAGCAGGAAACACUUUAAGCUGUGUUUUCAAGUGGGUAACCUAGUUGCUUUGUUUGCCAAUAGAAUGACUUGCUAAAUAGAUAUGUUAAUGUCUCUAAUUUUAUAUUCAGUAGUUUACUGUUUACCUUAAUAUAAUUAGGUCUGAUUCAUUUAAACUUUUAAGAAAAUAUACUCAAACCUCUUUAUAGUUGCUCUAUUUCCAAUAUAGUCAGGUGACAUCUACACUAAAUUGGUAUGAUGAAUACUGGUGAUGUUUUGAACUAAUACGAGAUAUUGGGAAUCAACUAUAUUCAAGGAUAUCAAGGUUAAAGAAAUUUGUAAGACCACAUUUCAGUUAGUAUUUACUUAGUUAUUAGUGCUUUCUCAAAAAAAUAAAAAUAAAGUUAUCAGUGGAAAGCCUUUCCUUCUAUAUUUAUUUGUUGACACUUGAGAUUUUUUUUAGAUUGAGUAGUCAAGCUGAUUAAGUACAGUACAAUGUUAUAUAAACUUAAAUUCUUAUUUUACCAUUCUUCCCCUUUCUAAUAAACUUAUUAAGUUGUUAAGAGCUAAUGAGUAGGAUGAGGGAAUGGUCAGAUGAGUGAAGGUCUGGAAUAGAGCCUUUCAUGAGCUUAUUAUGUGCUUUGAUGGUCCUAUCUACAAAUGAAUUCUUUUUUCCUUGUAAUUGUAAUUUGUCAUACACGGAGCACUUGGUUCAUGGUUCAUUAUUUUAGAUUUGUAGUCUUGGGAGAGUUAAUUCAUCAAAUAUUUUUCACCCCCAAUUUUAUAAUCUGCUAAAUAUAUUACCCCCUCAGAAUCUUACUGCUCCAUAUGUUGUACACCUGAAAAUCUUGGCUUUUUAGCGCCUUAGUUUUUGAACUAUUAUGUUAAUUGGCAUAUUAUUGAUUUCUAAUACAUUUUCUACACUUGUAAAUAGACAAUGAAGCCAGUCAUCUGCCAAAGCUGGAACGUUUAAGGAAAAGGUGGAUGCCAUCCAUCGGCAAGAUAUUUGCGGACUGUUGUUAAGCAUAUACAACUUGUGAAAGAGCAAAUUACUUUUAGUUGUUAUAAAGUAUUAGUUGUUGGAAAAAUGUAGCUACAAUGGUAUUGAUUCUAAUGUGAUAUUAUAGAGUUUUAGCCAAAAAAAAGUUAUUAGGCGAAACUUAAUUCAUUUA